AUGCAGCGGUACCAGCGGCGGCUGCGGCGGCCCCGGCUGCAAAUCGCCGUCGUGUGGUUGCUACUGGCAACCGAGCCUCUGCCUAGCGCGCAGCCCUGCAGCUCCUGGAAGGAAGGUGGCGAGGGGAAGCGGCUGCGGCGCCGCCGCCUCGCUGCGGCCCGCGCCCCGCGGUCCCUUCGGGAUCUGACCGCGGCUGUGAGGCGCGGAGGGCCGAAGGGCUCUUCGGAUGGGGGUGUCGCCGCCUCGGAAGCGUCAAAUUACUGGCGCCCUCUGUGCAUGCAACAUGGCAGCUCCGGCUCGAAGACUGGGUGCAUUCGGUCGGCCGCGGAGGCGGGGGCCGCGCGCUCUGCAGGGCGCCCACCAGCUCCUUCACCAGGCGGGGAGCCGGGCCUGCUCGCGCCCCCGACCCGGGGCCGGGCGGAGCCCCGGGCUGCCGCGCGCGCGGACUCGCCUCGCGUUCACCCCGCGGCCCUUUGUUCUGGCGCUAGGCAGGCGCCUCACGCUUCGGGGGCUGUUCAAGGAGACCCUCGAAGACCCGGCCACCCCAGGUGGGACGCCAGGCCUCCCAGCGCCCUGCGCCUCUGUCUAGCGUCCCCGGUCCCCGAAGGGCGCCGGGCCGGGCUGGAAGCGCGAGCGCGGGAUCCUAACCCGACCUUCGCGAGGGGCCGCCUCUCGUCGGGUGGGUUCCUUCCCUGGGCGGAGCUCCUCACGCCGAGAGGUGUGAGGCGCGCUACCCGGCAGGGCUGCGGGCCGGCGGGAAGACCACGCCCGUCACGGCCGCAGGGCAGUGGCAUUCUCCGCCGGGAGACGCGGAGCGCUGCGGGCUCGCCAGCGCCCCGGUCUCCGAAAAACGGGGAGGCAAACGCCGCGCUGAGGUGUGCGCCGGGCCCCGCGUCGCCUCGCUCCGGCCGCCGUCGCCGCCCGCGAGGAGACGUCCCCGCCCUGGGUCCGGGGCGCGCCGAGCGGCCCACCGGGAGUGGCCGAGGGGGCCGGCGCCCCCGCGGGGGAGGGUUGGGGGACACUUGGCAUCUCUAA
rnacentral:lncRNA from 1 species